UUUUUUUUUUUAAUGGCAGUACCCUUAGCAUAUGGAAGUUCCUGGGCCACAUGCUGAAUCCAAGCCACAGCUGUGAUCUACACCAAAGCUGUGGCAACACUGGAUCCUUUAACCCACUCCACUGGUCCAGGGAUUGAACCUGUGUUUUUGCUGCACCCUCAGUCGCUGCAGUCGGAUUCUUAACCCACUGAGCCAAGCGGGAACUCCCAGUUUGGAUUCUUUGAAAACGUAAAAAUGGGUUUCUUCAGACAAAGACCUUCAGGGGAAUUCCCACCUCCCUUUUAAGUCUAUGAUCCAUGUGGCCGCGGGAAGAGAUUAUCUUAUAUUCUUAAGUCCAAAUUAAUAAAUGACUAGUGCCUAUUUAAAAUUAAAGCAUUUUGGCCUGUUGGCGGCCCUCCAUCUCCCUCAGCCUGACCCUGGAGGGAGCCCCCCUCCGCCCCAGGCUGUGUCUGUGAGCCGAGGCUCCUUUGGCGGAGCCAGGCUGGUUUGGCGCCUGCCUUGCGGAGGCUCGCUGGGAACCGCGCUCGCUCGGGCUGUCGCCUCCGCCUCUUCGGGGCUUGCUGCCCGCCCACCCCCACCUUAAAAGGGCAAUGCCAGGCGACGGGCCCCGCCCGGGGCAGGGGGUUGCAGGCGGGCCUCUGCUAGGCUCGCCAGCCGGGCGCGCGCUGCCCCCGCACGUGCUCCAGGGCGGAAGGUCCAGGCCUGCGCUAGCCUGCCCGGGCAGGCCUUGCAGAGCCACUUCUUUCUCGUCUACCCCGACCCUCCCCGAGAAGCAGAGCAGCUUCCCGUGGCCCGGUGCCGGCCACGUUUCCUUCCCACCCCACCGCACCGCACCCUCCCCCUCUCUCUCGCCCCUCCCCGGGAGGCCGUGCCUCCGCCACACCCCCUCCUCGGGUUUAAGAACUUGGGCUGGACAGUUUCACAUCAGAUGAUGGGAAAAUCGAGGGCUUAACGGCUGAAUUUGUGAACUUGGAGUUCGUCAGUUUAAUAAAUGUAGGCUUGAUUUCAGUUUCAAAUCUCUCCAAAUGACCUAAAUUGAAAAAGCUUGAGCUCAGUGAGAGUAAAAUCUAUGGAAGUCUGGAUAUGUUAGCAGAAAAACUUCCAUAUCUCACAUACCUGAAUUGAAGUGGAAAUAAACGGAAAGAUAUCAGCACCCUGCAACCUUUGAACAACUUGGACUGUCUGAAAAGCCUGGAUCUGUUUAACUGUGAGGUUACUAAGCUGAAUAAUUAUCGAGGGGGUGUCUUCAAGCAGAACCCACCUGGAUGGCUGUGAUACAGAGGAUCUUAAAGCCUCUGUCUCAGAUGCCAAGGUGGAUGGUAUGGAUGAAGAGGAGGAAGAUGAAGAAGGAGAAGAUGAAGGCAAGGAGGAGGAGGAUUGUAACGAAGAAGGGUUUGAUGAUGAAGAGGAUGAAGUCAGGGGGGAGGAAGAAGAAUUUGGACAGGAUGAAGAAGUUGAUGAAGACAGUGAGUAUGAAGAUGAGGAUGAAGAGGAGGAAGAAAUCAGGAAAGAUGAAAAGAAGAAAAGAGAAAUAGAAGAUGAAGAAGAUGAUUAAGACCCCGAAUAACCUACAAAAAAGAACAAAAAAGUAGCUGUGAUACAAAUUCCAGGACACCCACCCACCCAAAGAGCCAAAGAAUAGUUCCUAUGACAUUCUGCCUUCCUCCAUUUAGUCUGUCUUGGAAAGCCACCACCAAGACUUCACCCCAACAAAAUUGUUGGCAUUGUUAGGUUUUCAACAUUAAGGCUCUUGCUAUAGCGUGGAGAGCUGUGAUUGGUGAGUCAACCCUCUGUGGCUACCAGUUACACCAAGACCGUAACCAGCAUUUUUACUUUCUGUACAACAAAGAAGCUUUGUAAAUAAAAUCUUAACAUUUGGGGUGUGUUUUUUUUAUGCUUUUUUUUUAAUGAAAUUUUUUUACGUUAGAACAUUUUAUGUGACAACUGCCAAAAAAGUAUUUUUAAGAAUAAAAUAAAUGAAAUAAACUUUCCUCCUUGGUAAAAAAUAAAAUAAAAUUACAGUAUUUUAUUUUUAAUGAUCUGUGCCAAUACAAGUUUCGGAGUGGAGGAUAUAUAUUUUUACUACAAUUUUAUUGAUGAAUGGAGUUAGAGUUUUUACAAUACAUAAAUUGAAGGCAAAAUUGAAUUUACCCCAAAGAUAACUAAGCUUAAGCUUCAAGGGCCCUAAUUUUGAAAGAGCAAUAUCUGGUCACAUUUUCCUAAAGAGGAUCACAAAUUUGCAUUAUGUUUAAGCCCCAUAGAACUUGAGUCCACCAUUGACUGGGAUAGUUUGUUGGAAUUGCAUAAGUGUUUAAUAAUCCUAGUACUUUCUUUAAAAUACAUAUAUUUGGUCAUAUUAUUCUGCUAUUUUCUACAUCUUAGGUGUGAUAGACUAUUUUAUUUGCUCACAAUUUUUCAUUCCUCUCCACUUAAGCCAUGCUUCCUUGCAGUGCAACAUACUUCCUGUCCCUACUGAUUUUGGACUUGCUUUCAAUAAAAGAUGAGCAGACAAGAAGUAUGCUAUGUCCCCAGCAGAAAGUUACCCUGUCCUAGUGCAGUUUGGCUCUGUUUCUCAACUUCUGCCCUCCACUCAGUGUAUUGCAUGCGUUAAAGAACAAGUGUUGUUUCUACCUGGGUCUCAGAAUGAGAAGACACACAGAGCACAGCCAAGUUCAGCAUAAGCUCAGUUGACCUACAGUCCUUAUGUAAUGUUAGCAAGAAAUAAAUGUUUGUAGUUGCAUUGAGAUUUGGUCAUUAUUUGUCACUGUAGCAAAAGCCAGAGUGAUUGUCAUUCUGCCUACUUUUUCAUUUUACCAUAUGUUAUCUAUCAUCUCUCUAUCUAUCCAUCCAUCCACAGUAAUAUUUUCCUGAAUUUGCAGGAUGUGUAUUAUACUCUGGUUGCCUUUAACUAGCAUACUUAUUGAUGGUUGCCAAGGACUGAGUCAUUAAAUUCAUACCUUCUCUUCCCUGGAGACCGUCCCUUGUAAAUGCUUUUUUCUGUUCUUUUUUUAAAAAGUAUAUUAGCAGGUUUUCACAAGGAAGGCAGCUUACACCACUAGGGACUUCAAAUUUCAAGUCUGUAUUACAUGCUCGCCACUUUCUGAAAAUGCAAAAUACAUCUUUGUCUGUUUUCUUGAAGUUAUUUUAUAAAAUAGGUGGGGUUUGCUUUCUAAUUAUUUUUAAUUAUGCCUCUAUAGAAUUACUGCAAAUUUCCUCUGCUUGUUUAUCUGAAAACCCAUUUUGUGAAGUGAGGCUGUGUCCCCUGAUGGGCACUAUUUACAUUUUAAAGCAUCUAAACACAAGUCUCUUCUGCAGAUCCCCUCCAAUGUGGCCAAAUUAAUGUCAUUUCAAUUUUUGCCAUUCCACUAAAUUUCCCUAAUCAGUGAUAACAGAUGUUAUUUGCAUGUGCGAGUUCAUUAAUAUGUUACUUCCUUAAACACUCAAGCUUUAUCAAGAAAUAUAUCCCAGGAGUUCCUGUCGUGGCUCAGCGGUAACAAACCAGACUAGUAUCCAGGAGGACGCAAGUUUGAUCCCUGGCCUCGCUCAGUAGGUUAAGGAUCCGGCAUUGCCAUGAGCUCAAGGGCAGGGACCGAACCCGCAACCUCAUGGUUCCUAGUCGGAUUCGUUAACCACUGCGCCACGACGGGAACUCCGGAAGUACCUAGUUUUGGUACCAGCAGCAUAUGGAAGUUCACAGCUGUGGCUACAGGGAUCCUUAAACCAGGGCCGGGGAUGGAACCUGAGCCUCCAU
rnacentral:lncRNA from 1 species